CAGUCGCCGCGGUAAUACGAAGGGUGCAAGCGUUAAUCGGAAUUACUGGGCGUAAAGCGUGCGUAGGCGGUGUGUUAAGUCAGCUGUGAAAUCCCCGGGCUCAACCUGGGAAUGGCAGUGGAUACUGGCUCGCUAGAGUGUGUCAGAGGAUGGUGGAAUUCCCGGUGUAGCGGUGAAAUGCGUAGAGAUCGGGAGGAACAUCAGUGGCGAAGGCGGCCAUCUGGGACAACACUGACGCUGAGGCACGAAAGCGUGGGGAGCAAACAGGAUUAGAUACCCGCGUAGUCCCUGUCUCUUAUAC
rnacentral:rRNA from 1 species